rnacentral:rRNA from 1 species
UACAGAGGUCUCAAGCGUUGUUCGGAUUCAUUGGGCGUAAAGGGUGUGUAGGUGGCGCGCUAAGUCGGGUGUGAAAUUUCGGAGCUUAACUCCGAAACUGCAUUCGAUACUGGCGUGCUUGAGGACUGGAGAGGAGACUGGAAUUCAUGGUGUAGCAGUGAAAUGCGUAGAUAUCGUGAGGAAGACCAGUGGCGAAGGCGGGUCUCUGGACAGUUCCUGACGCUGAGGCGCGAAGGCCAGGGGAGCAAACGGG